UCGGUGGUCUUGAAUGAGAUCUCCAGCCGCCCAGCAUGGCCUCUUCCUGACUCACCUUCCCCGGAGCCAGGCGUGGCACAGCUUGGCGCGGAGGGGGAUCUGGUUCAAGAACACAAUCCGC
rfam:Arthrobacter sp. A3, complete genome.